CUGGAAUCAGUCACUUCUCAUGGAGAAUGGAGAGGACAGAACUUCCCAGUGAAGAGAAUUCCAUCCUACUACCACGGAAAUUAGAGCAGCAUGAUUAGAUUAAUCAAACAGGCUGGAAAGCCAGACUGUCUGCGUUUGAAUUCCAGUUCCAUCGCUCAUAAAUCGUGCAACGUUGGACUUGAAGAGCUAUUACUAGAAAAAUGCAUGACAGUUAAAAAGAAGUUUGCACGACACAGAAAAGAAACCCUCCCCCUUUCCAAUCACUAGUUUCAAAUACUGAAG